CUUUAACUUAUUGUUUUCUUAACCUUUAAACAAUACAUUUUAAAAUGAACUACUUUAUUUAUAGUAGUUCAAGAAAAAAAAAAAAUAUAUAUAUAUAUAUAUAUUAGAUAACUCUUUCCUUUAUAUUCAAUGGAACAAGAAGCGAAUUCGUUAGCGAACUAGAGUAACUAUAGAAAUAGCGUCGUUUCAGGUCUUCUUCUGACCGGCAAUCAUGUGAAAACCUUAGCAGUAAUGAAAGUGGAACGUCCAGUGGGCUGUGCUCAGCCACGUCCGAAUGGGGACGUUGAAUUCUUGCAACAACUCUUCGAGUGGACUGACAAGAACUAUAGAAGAUACAGAGAAAUUAUAAACAGCAGAAAUGAUAGGCAAUUUAAAAUUUGCAGAAGUCAACAAAUCCUAAAUGGUGAUCAGACAUCUUGGUUUUCAUGAUCAAUAGGUCAAUACUGAAGAGGACACUGAAAGUUGAUAUCUAUCUACAUGGUGCGCUAAUUGGAUUAAUGUGAAAUGGAAUGUG